AGCCAAUUCAAUUUCAACAUCAUCAUCAGCUAAAUUCUCUUCCAUAAGUGUUUCUUGACCAAUUCUUCGAGCUGACAAUAACAGUUGUUCCGCAUCUUUGUACUUCUCCCUUUCAAUCAAAGAGCAGGCAGUGUUGUAAGCCAAUUCAAAACUGCUAGUUGCUUUAACUCUCAGUGAAUCCAGGGUUCCCUGCACUUCAGAAGAUCUUCCAGCAGAAACCAGACCAGCAACAAGAUUUAUCUCCAAGGAAUCUAUUGUAGACUUUGGGAGCUUUUGAUAAAUAUCGACAGAUGCACCCAUCUUUCCUAAUCGAUACAAAAUCUGAGAUUCCAACAGCAUUGACUCAGUACUUCCUUCUUGCCCCCUCAAGGACUCUAAAGCCUCCUCCAAUUUAUUUUGCCGAUAUAAGCAAUAUGCCUUAAAGAAGCUAAGAUCAACAGAACCCUUUUUGCUAGAGUCUUUAAUAGCAACCAAUGCGUCUUCUAUAGAAUCUGCUUUCACUAACGCCACCACUUUACACCGUAUCGCGUCCUCAUCUCCAGGCGCAGCCGCAAGAAUUUGAUCAGAAACUUUGACGGCUUGCUCAUACUCGGAUCGUUGAAUGUGGCGAUUAAGCGAAGUGAAGAGAUCUUCAAUUGCUAUAGCAGGGGUUGCUACUGCAGAUGCCUUUGCUUUCUCUUUGGGCUUCGGAGCCAUUUCUGAAGCAAUUCCCAAAUCGAAUGGAUUGUGAUUUUU
rnacentral:misc_RNA from 1 species